rnacentral:lncRNA from 1 species
GCUCACUGUAACCUCCUGGGUUCAAGCCAUUCUCCUGCCUCAGCCUCCCAAGUAGCUGAGACUACAGGCAUGCACCAGAAUGCCUGGCUAAUUUUUGUAUUUUUAGUAGACACGGAGUUUCACCAUGUUGGCCAAGCUGGUCUUGAAUUCCUGACCUCAAGUGAUCCUCCCGCCUCGGCCUCCCCAACUGCUGGGAUUACAGGCAUGAGCCACCGUGCCCAGCCUGGGAUCUUCAAACUUUCUAGUUGGCCUUUUAUGUUGGAUGCUAGAAAGAUGUCUCUCUUUCAUUGGUUACUAAUAACAAUUUGUAGUGUGUUUAUGGUACUUUUGAACUUCAAAAGAUUUGGCCAGUAUUAAUAGCUUAGUUCUGAUGUUGAGUUGAUGAGGGUAGAAUUGCUUUCUCUUAUGAGUAUUGCUCCACUAUUCCUGAGAUCUUAGUCAGGUGAAUAUAAGGGAAAUAUUCCCAAAGACAAACCAUUGUUGUCCCAGAUGCUGUCUACUACUCACAUAGAAGGUGUGCCCUGUAGGCUAGUGAUGACACGUAACUGUGUGGAUAAAUGAAUUCAUUUCUUCCUCACUGAGCCCCAAAUCCUUCUCAAGACAGUAUUUCUGGUGAUAUGGACAGGGGGUAGGGAAAUACUGGGUAGAAGAGGACAGUCCCUGGCGAGGGCCAUACCCUCAAGCCUGGGACCAUGGCCCAAAGUGAGAACAUGCAUUCCUGUUUUCCCACCCGAAUAUUGCCUUUUACAAAACCACCCUGGCCCACCCCACCCCUGAUUCUGUACCCACAAAAACCCCAGGCUUCACUGACAGAGGCACAGCAGAGUGGCUGAGAGGCAGAGUGGAGCAGCAGCGAAGGAGAAAAGAGAAGUAGCAGCCAGACAUCAGAGAGAAACAGCUUGAUUUCAGAGGGACAGCUUGACGAUGGGACUUCGGAGAAGAGUUCAGCCAAGGAUGGCCGAACUCCAGGGUUCUAAGAUGAUUUCUUUGGUUCGAGGCACAUUUUCUUGCAUUUGUAUUGAUGACGGGAAGGGAAGCUGGCUAUCUGCAUAUGUGUUUACUUGACAACAGACAAGCUGAAGAGGCAUCGGAAGACCAGAGGGCAGCCCAAGCAGUCCCUCUAGUCACAACACAGGCACAUAACAUACGCAGAUGCCUUCUUAGGAAAGUAGUCAUGGGGAUUGGGGAAGUUUUGAGACAAGACAAAUGGCCAUUGAACUUGAAUGAAAAUAAACCAACCUGAAUGAAACUUUUAAUACUGAGAGACACUGAACUUACUUUAAUUAGGAAGUUUAAGUAUUUUUUCCUUACUACUCAGUUAUAGAAACAUAAAGAAUGCUCCAAUGUUUACAUAUUUCAGUGUGGUGGAUAAAAAUCUGACCCUACUACAAUGAGACUAACAAUUUUGGCUUCCUUAAUUUGGAACCUUACCCAUUGGAGACCUUGUUUCCUGGUCUCCCCAGAUCCUAUCCCCUUCCUGGUUCUGCGCCAGAGAAACGGGUACUGGGUAGAAAGCUGCAGUCCAUACUGGCUAUACUGCUAGUGAGCUAUAUGACCACUCUGCCUCUUAAUUUUCUAACCCAUAAAAUGGGAAGACUAAAAUAAAUGAACCUUGAAAUCUUUCCAGCUUAUGGAUAUUUUUUUCACAAUCUUCCCCCAUCCCAGCACUUUCUUCUCUUUCUCUUCAGGGUGUAUUUCAA